rnacentral:rRNA from 1 species
GACGAACGCUGGCGGCGUGCUUAACACAUGCAAGUCGAACGGAAAGGCCCUGCUUUUGUGGGGUGCUCGAGUGGCGAACGGGUGAGUAACACGUGAGUAACCUGCCCUUGACUUUGGGAUAACUUCAGGAAACUGGGGCUAAUACCGGAUAGGAGCUCCUGCUGCAUGGUGGGGGUUGGAAAGUUUCGGCGGUUGGGGAUGGACUCGCGGCUUAUCAGCUUGUUGGUGAGGUAGUGGCUUACCAAGGCUUUGACGGGUAGCCGGCCUGAGAGGGUGACCGGCGACAUUGGGACUGAGAUACGGCCCAGACUCGUACGGGAGGCAGCAGUGGGGAAUAUUGCACAAUGGGCGGAAGCCUGAUGCAGCAACGCCGCGUGCGGGAUGACGGCCUUCGGGUUGUAAACCGCUUUCGCCUGAGACGAAGCGUGAGUGACGGUAAUGGGUAAAGAAGCACCGGCUAACUACGUG